rnacentral:misc_RNA from 1 species
AAAAAAAAAAAAUCUAUUGAAGUGGCUUCAGAUUUUUUACAUCCUCCUUAAAACGACAUUCGUGCAGAAAUAGUAACAAAUCACGUACAUCUAGAAGAGCCUUGGCUGGUGCUGGUUUCCAGUUCUCAUCAUUGUACAAAACUCUUCGUAGUUAAUCCUACCGUCAUUAUCUGUGUCAACUUCAGAUAUUAUCUCUUUGAUUGUUGCAUCAUCACCCAUUCCAAAGUCUUUCAUAGCUGUUUCUAGCUCAUCUGUUGUGAUGAACCCACUUUUGUCCUUGUCAAAAUACUGAAAGGCUUUGUAAAUUUGUUCGUCUCUUUCUAGCCUGUGCCUAUGCAUUGUCGCGGUGAUAAAUUCAAUAUAGUCUAUUGUCCCGUUACCAUCAACAUCAGCAGCCUCCAUAAGCUGCUUGAC